UAAAAGUCGGGAUUCUACGAACAAUAACGCUCGCGCUAUAAAACUAGUAUAAAAAGAGGAUUUGGGAGGUGGGAUCCUGGAGGAGACCAUAAUCCGGAUUCUUAUAGGACUCGCCCGGAAGGAAGCGUAUACCACCAGGUGGGAGGAGAACAAAGCGCGAGGCGAGCAUGGUAAAAAGCAGGGACGGACAGUCCUUACAGUAUGGCCGAGAAGGGCAUCUGUCAUAUGGGGGAGAAUCUUAGGUGGGGACCAGACGGUUCCAUUGUACAAGAAGGUGCAUAAUCAUCAGCCUGACAUCUCACAACACAGAACGCACAGGACGAAUGGAGCUGCCACCGAUCAAGGUGACGGUGAAGGAGACUGUACCGCAGGACAAGGUUGCGUGUACAAUGAUGUAACGUGGGUGUGACAGGAUACUAGCGGUAGUGUAACGGGACCUGGGCUCUGGUUUAACACCACCCGAGGAACAAGUGGAAGUUGUAAGGGCAAUGAGGUAUAUAUGAAAAGCAGUGGUAGCAUUGCCUUUACAGUAAAUUGCACGAGGGGAAACUUGUAUAGGGAAACCUAUAAAUGAAAGUAGCUGGAAAUCUGUUGGCAAUGCAACAAUGGGGUGCAUAACCAUGGAAAACACAGCUGUAACAGUCACACCUGAGGGGAACAGGGUGGGUUUAUGCUCGUGACAAGGGAGCACAUUUACAACGUGUAAUGGGGAAAUGGGCCUCAAAUGUAACACCACAAAAGGGUCACGAGCUUCCCUGUCGACAGAAUCCCAUAAUGAGAGGGGUUUGAACUCUAACGGAUCAAUGGUGAAAAUUAAGAUAAAUUAAUAAAACCCAGAACACCCCCACUCUGCAGACGACACUGCGUAUGGUGAUGGCAGGAACAACGACCACCCCAAAACCCCCGGAAUGCCUUAAAAAUGGGACGGAAGUAGUACCCUUAAAUACAGGUUUAGUAGUGAUCCCAGAGGGAGAAGAGGUGAUUAUUGUACCAGGGUAUACCCAUGUAAAGAUAGUAGUUGAUCUGACAGGACUCAAUAUGCCAGAAUGGUGCCACAACAAACUGAAAGAUCUACAUACCAAAUUGUUAAGGGAGGUCGUCAACCAGAAGGGGUUGCAAAUGGAUGUUGAGGCACAGCAGUCGAUAAACGCUACUAUAAUAACCCCUACCCGAAGGACUUAAGGGGGUGGCUUCAGGGAGGAAGUGUAGGAAAAGGGGAAUUUUAGAAGUAGCAGGGAUAGGUUAUGCAGCUGGAGAAGCUACUAUGAAUAUAGGAACUCUGCAGAUGGAGAUUGAUAAAUUAAAAGCCCAUAUGACGCAGAUAGUCCAGGAUGGAUAUGGUACUCAGGAGGCGACAGGCCAGAAUAGCAAGAAGCUGACCAUCUUAAUUAAAAAGGGACUGAAGCAGCUUAAACUAAUAUCUGGCACAGUUAACUGAUUGAUCAGCAGGCAAGAGAGCAAAGAAAAGAACGAAAUACAGGAUGCUGUAUGCACCCUGUAUGGGUCCUGGGUUUUGGCUCAAGUAGACAAGAAUUUGCUGCGACUUAAAAAUUAUCAGGUGCCAGAUUGGAUAGGUGAGAAAACCUUACAAAGGUGGGCACGGGUGCCAUCUCAAGGAAACAUCAACAUUAGAGAUGUCUCUCUGGCCACCCAAGCUCAAGUGUAGUGGCAAAAAAGGGAGGAGCAAUAAUUUUGGGUAUAAUCUUAAAUAUACCUAAAGCCAGGAACGAUAGCCUAAGAUCCAAGUUAUACCGAGUCGAAAACAUGGGAUGGGUAAAGGAGAAAGUGUGAAUGAGGACCCCAGAAGCCCUGAGGUGGGCAGUAAGAAUGAACAACGGGACAAAAGGGUUGAGGCGAGCUCAAUGUCAUCAAGCUGAGAAUAUCUGGUUGUGCCCAGAAUAUGCUAUAAUUAAUGAAGGAUUGUGCGGCCUUAAUCACUGGGAUAAUUGUUUGAUACGUGUAGACCCGACUAAGUAUAUGGAAGGACCCAUAAUACUACUCAUCAUUAUAUUGUAACCACUGGUUUGAACUAUACUGUCCGGAAUAAGCCUUGUAUUUUGCCAAGUUAUAAUGUGAUAAUUAAGGACUCCAGGGAAAGGCUAACCUUUGGGAGCAACAUCCUAGAACCACUACAAAAGAACACAAUCGUUCAGGCCAACGCAAAAAUUCGACGAACUGAUAGCGACAUAGAAAUAUAUGACUGUGCACCGCACCCUACCACAAUUCCCCCUAUCGAUGCUAACUGGAACCAACUCAUCACAGAAGCAACCGACAUAAUCUACAAAUGGAAUGACGUUGAGCAGAAGAUUUGGACCAAUCAGGAGAGAGUUAAUGAACUUUUAAGGAAAAACUCUAUUAUGGCACUAAUUUGGGACUGGAGUAUGAAUGUGAAUGUGCACCCAUGGUUGAGAAUCCUCUCACACAUACUGGUUGUAAUCCAAGCACUGAUAAUUGUCAUAUUAAUCAUAAUUAUGUAUUGCUUUAAGAGGAACACCAGGAGAUGGCAAAGGGAAUGAUACGCUAUGGACAUGGUGGAAUUAAGAUGACCAUUACCACUUAGCGGGCGAGGAAAGGCAGUGAAAGAGGGAAAAAUCUAUGACAAUAUAAACUAUAUAUAAUUAGGGCCUGCAUGGGCAUGGCCAUAGGUCAACAGUGGGGACUGAAGAGGCAUAUCCACGACAAGGGCUAGAGAAUAGCAAAAUACACGUAACCACCCUAGAGUUGACAUGGGUUCCAAAGGUCAAGUAAGGCUUAGUGAAGCACACAGUUGGUAAAAACAGGGACUUGCUUUAGACUUUGCACAGAUAUACAGACACUAUCACCACGUGAUAAUAGAAGGCUGAAACACAAAAGGAUAUUGUAGGGCACAGCAAAAAUAUAACUGGCGCAAACCAGUAUAGCAGUUUAAAAAUCCUUAGUUAAACCAGAUGUAAAGACAGGGUGAUAACACAUGAAGGAUUGACUGAUAGUAAAGCCUGAGAAAACACAAGAUGAAUGAGGAACAUUAAUAGCCACCCUUGUAAUCAAGGUGGAGAUAAGAAUAGUGUUCUGUGUUUGAUCAACAUUUUAGCCUGAUAAUAUUGAUGAGUUGCGUGCAAAGAUGUAACGUGAAAAUUAUAUAAGUUACGAGACUUUGUAAUUACGGCAGAGUACCUCUGGACGGACUCAGAGGGCUCUCCCUGCGUAUGCUGGUAACAAGCUUGAAUAAACCGUCCUGUUCGAGAAUCCAAA